GGUACUUCACGCGUGAAGGUAACAUGACAGUCAAAGAGAAAAUUGUGUUGCUCAUAAUUUCAUGUUUCGGCGUCACCCUAGCAAGGACACACGUUGAGGUCAGUUCACGUACAGACCAUGUGAUUUUACAAACUUCCAAUGCCACGACUUCGGUCCGUCCUAAGAAGCACAAACUCAACUAAUGGUAUGAAAAUGACAAACACGUCACGUUUAGUCAAAAUUCACAAACACAUAUUUACAUAUUUUGCAGCUGUUAUGUGUUUAAUAAUUUAAUUUUUUGUGGAGG